AAAAUUUUAUCCGGUGGCGGUUUUACCGUUAGGCAUAGGUCGGCAGCCGCCUGGGGCCCCCUUAUGUUGGGGGCCCCUAGCCCUGACUGCUGGCACCCCUCUGUUAAUGCCACAAUGGACUAUUCCUUUAAAGAGCAAGUAACGUCUAAAUUAACUUUUUUUUGCUGAUGAACUGUAUAAAUGAGUGUCUAAUAGUGUUUUAAAUAUGUGUGUUCAUUAUUUUAGCAUUUUGGUGCAUUUUCUUUAAAAAUUAAAAAUUCUGCCUAAAUACCACAGUAUAGCGCCACCUUCAGCUUAAAACAUAGAAUUUGACUCAUUUUGAAUAAAUUUUAGCCAAUGGCUAAAGAGUAAGAUACUACGUAAACCAGUAGAGUACUACGUAGCAGCUCUGUGUCAAAGUUAUAAAGCAACAAGCGUCUCGGCCACGCCUUGUGGCGAGUUGGGAGUUGGAUUUGCAAGCGAGUGUAGGAGGUUAGCCGUAGUUCAGCAUUAGCAUAUAGCAUUAGCAUAUCCUAGUCUUUAGCGUAGCCUUUAGUGUUAUACAUACUUAUUUAGUGUUAGCUUGGCUGUUGGAUAGUGUAGUUUAGUUAGUGUUUGGCUGUUAGUGUUAUUAGGAAAGUAGUUCAGGUUUAGUGCUCCAUAUCGUGUUAGUAUGGUGAGAAGGUGUAGUGCAGUAUGGUUGCGGUGGCUCUGUGGGGUUGUACUCCUUUCCGCUGGACUUAGAAAUUAGGCGCCAGCGGUUGCGUGUCUGGAAAACAUUCAGCUCCCGCCUGGUGCUGUAGUUUGCAACCAGCAUUUUACCCGCGAUUCUGCACGUCUCCGUUCCAAGAGGGAGGCUGUGCCCACCGUGGCUCUUCAGCGAUUUAGAUGCAGCCCACCGACUCUGCUCCCCCACCACGGCGGGCUCCAGUCUGAGGCUAAAUCUACCCAAGACACUGGCUGUCAGACUGAUUUAGUAAUCUGCAAGAAUGCACUUGUCCAGGCUGACAUGAAGCCUUACCCGUAGCAAAGAGCUCACAGCCUCAGUGUGUCUGGUGACACAGGGACCAUGACGGAAAUUCAUCUUCCAGAAAGUCCCAGAGCAGCGUCCACACCCCUGAAAAGACCAAGAUGUGAGGUGUCUGCUGUUGAUUCCAGCUUCCACCUCAGUGACAGUGCAAGCUCAGUGAACUGUUCAAGGAGGCUACUGAUUCUGCCCCUGUGACACUUGGUGGUGACGUGUGAGCUGAUUCACCUGGACACUCAGCAAAAUAUGGACUCUACACCAUGAAGCAGGCACACGUUAAUACUCUAUAAGAGCACAUAAGCCUGGCUGAUCACCUGAUAACUCCUGUCAUCUGGUUAUGACAGCAUGAGGACGUCCUCACACACCUGUAACCUAUCAGCUCAUCUGGCAGAAUAGAGAGAGAAGAGACAACACCACAUCUCCUGUUCCUGGAAAGCCUUCAGCCAUCCUUCGAUGACUGAGAACCUCCAUCAGCUCUGUCUCCUGUCUGCCUACAAUUAUUAUAAUAAAAAUUGUGUUUGACAAGUU